rnacentral:rRNA from 1 species
CCUACGGGUGGCAGCAGUGAGGAAUAUUGGUCAAUGGGCGCGAGCCUGAACCAGCCAAGUCGCGUGAGGGAGGACGGCCCUACGGGUUGUAAACCCCUUUUGCCGGGGAGCACCGGGCGUCACGUGUGGCGUCACUGAGAGUACCCGGAGUAAAAGCAUCGGCUAACUCCGUGCCAGCAGCCGCGGUAAUUCGGAGGAUGCGAGCGUUAUCCGGAUUUAAUGGGUUUAAAGGGUGCGUAGGCGGAUCGUUAAGUCAGUGGUCAAAUUAAGGGGCUCAACCCCUUCCCGCCAUUGAUACUGGCGCUCUUGAGUGGAAGAGAAGUAUGCGGAAUGCGUGGUGUAGCGGUGAAAUGCGUAGAUAUCGCGCAGAACCCCGAUGGCGAAGGCAGCAUGCCGGCUUCCGACUGACGCUGAGGCACGAAAGCGUGGGGAUCGAACAGGAUUAGAUACCCGUGUAGUC